UGGGGAAUAUUGGACAAUGGGCGCAAGCCUGAUCCAGCCAUGCCGCGUGAGUGAUGAAGGCCUUAGGGUUGUAAAGCUCUUUUACCAGGGAAGAUAAUGACGGUACCUGGAGAAUAAGCCCCGGCUAACUUCGUGCCAGCAGCCGCGGUAAUACGAAGGGGGCUAGCGUUGCUCGGAAUCACUGGGCGUAAAGCGCACGUAGGUGGGUCGUUAAGUCAGGGGUGAAAUCCCGGAGCUUAACUCCGGAACUGCCUUUGAUACUGGCGACCUUGGAGUCCGGGAGAGGUGAGUGGAACUGCGAGUGUAGAGGUGAAAUUCGUAGAUAUUCGCAAGAACACCAGUGGCGAAGGCGGCUCACUGGCCCGGUACUGACACUGAGGUGCGAAAGCGUGGGGAGCAAACA
rnacentral:rRNA from 1 species